GGCAAUUUUGGGGCAUUCCUGGGGUCCAAAUCCAGGUUGGGAAGGGUGGGAAUCUCUCAGGGAGAUCCCCAAUGAGGAAAUCCUGGAAUUCCAGGCCUGUUUCCAUGGGAAUUUUCAUUGGGAAUGUCGGGGUGGAUUGAAGGGAUGGGAUCCCAAGGGGGUUUUUUGGAGCUUCCCAUGGGAUUUUGGGGCAAUUUUGGGGCAUUCCUGGGAUCCAAAUCCAGGUUGGGAAGGGUGGGAAUCUCUCAGGGAGAUCCCCAAUGAGGGAAUCCCAAAAUUCCAGGCCUUUUCCAUGGGAAUUUUCAUUGGGAAUGUGGGGGUGGAUUGAAGGGAUGGGAUCCCAAUGGAAUUCCAAGGGGGUUUUUUGGAGCUUCCCAUGGGAUUUUGGGGCAAUUUUGGGGCAUUCCUGGGGUCCAAAUCCAGGUUGGGAAGGGUGGGAAUCUCUCAGGGAGAUCCCCAAUGAGGAAAUCCUGGAAUUCCAGAGCUGUUUCCAUGGGAAUUUUCAUUGGGAAUGUGGGGGUGGAUUGACCAGAGAGGGUUUUUUGGAGCUUCCCAUGGGAUUUUGGGGCAAUUUUGGGGCAUUCCUGGGGUCCAAAUCCAGGUUGGGAAGGGUGGGAAUCUCUCAGGGAGAUCCCCAAUGAGGAAAUCCUGGAAUUCCAGGGCCUUUUCCAUGGGAAUUUUCAUUGGGAAUGUCAGGGUGGAUUGAAGGGAUGGGAUCCCAAAGGCGUUCCAAGGGGGUUUUUUGGAGCUUCCCAUGGGAUUUUGGGAUCCAAAUCAGGGUUGGGAAGGGUGGGAAUCUCUCAGGGAGAUCCCCAGUGAGGGAAUCCUGGAAUUCCAGAGCUGAUUCCAUGGGAAUUUUCAUUGGGAAUGUCAGGGUGGAUUGAAGGGAUGGGAUCCCAAUGGAAUUCCAAGGGGGUUUUUUGGAGCUUCCCGUGGGAUUUUGGGGCAAUUUUGGGGCAAU